UACGUAGGGUGCGAGCGUUGUCCGGAAUUAUUGGGCGUAAAGGGCUCGUAGGCGGUUUGUCGCGUCGGGAGUGAAAACAUCCAGCUUAACUGGGUGCUUGCUUCCGAUACGGGCAGACUAGAGGUAUGCAGGGGAGAACGGAAUUCCUGGUGUAGCGGUGAAAUGCGCAGAUAUCAGGAGGAACACCGGUGGCGAAGGCGGUUCUCUGGGCAUUACCUGACGCUGAGGAGCGAAAGUGUGGGGAGCGAACAGG
rnacentral:rRNA from 1 species